rnacentral:tmRNA from 1 species
GGGGGUGCACUUGGCUUCGACGGGAGUAGCAACGUCCACUGGUGCAUGCCGAGGGGGUAGCUUUCCUCGCUAAUCCAGCUGCAAAACUUAGUUGCCAACGACGACAACUACGCUCUCGCCGCUUAAGGCGUAAGCCCCGAACCCACUUGUGCCCGUGCUCGUGGAUGUAGGGUCAUUAUCACGGAACAGGCUCCGGCGGCGACCCGUCAACCGGUGUUUAAAUAAAGCGGGUGUGUCUGGCGGUGUGCUUCGCACGUCGUGUUGCCGUCAGCCGAGAACGAACGUCGUGCUAAGCAUGUAGUACCAGAGAUCGCGCGCUUUCGGACGGGGGUUCGAUUCCCCCCACCUCCACCA